CCAUUGCACAAGCCGCUGGCAUAGCUUUUGCUUCAUCUCCUCCUACCAAUUCACAAGCAGCAAUACAUAAAACUGGACGGACACGCUUGCCGCCAGCGAGAAGAGAAUAUCUCAUAGCGUCAUGAAUUUUCAACGGAUGUUGCAGAGGAAUCGCCUCAUCUAGUGCCUCGUUGACAUGCUUGGCCUUAGUGGCCAUGUAUUCUUGGAAUGGAAAUGCAGGAAGAGGGAUCUUUGGUAAGAUGUCGUUGAUGGAUUC
rnacentral:misc_RNA from 1 species